rnacentral:misc_RNA from 1 species
GGAAGUAAAAUGAGAUCUCAAAUUUGCUUUAUUGAUGUCAAAUGUUGAGAAAGGUUGGAACUCUUUAGAUUUGGAGAUUGCUUCGUGGAGGCUUGUGCUGCAUUUUGUUGUUGAUCAAGGCUCCUGACCAGGUUCAGCUCCAAGGACAAGUUGACUAUCAUUGAUAUCAAACCUUAACAAACUAGCAACUCUUUUGAUGUGGGAAAGUGCUGCAAAAUCAUACCCAUGUUUCAAUUAUUUAUUGGUGAAUAUUUGAAGUGAUGCUAAGUGAAAACAGGGGAUUGAAAAAGGGUAGACGGUGUUAUUUAUGUUCGUAAAUUCUCAAAAACUCAUUUAGACUUUCUCCUAGAUGGUUGAGCUAUCAUUCAGGAUUUUUUCUCAUUCAGAGACGGUGGAUUAUUAUCGUGUUCUUGCUUUCCAAUACGCAUUGCAAUGUCAUUAUUUUUUUUUUUUAAAGAUGCAUAGAAUAUUAAAAUCUUGAUGUAUUAAAACAAGGCCGC